rnacentral:rRNA from 1 species
AGAAUCAACGCUGGCGGCGUGCCUCAGACAUGCAAGUCGUACGAUUAAAGCUCUCUUCGGAGAGUGCAUAAAGUGGCGUACGGGUGAGUAACACGUAAGUAAUCUACCUUUGAGUGGGGAAUAACAGUCGGAAACGACUGCUAAUACCGCAUAAUGCAGCGGCUCGACAUCGAGACAGUUGUUAAAGAUUUAUCGCCUAAAGAGCAGCCUGCGGCAGAUUAGCUAGUUGGUAAGGUAACGGCUUACCAAGGCUACGAUCUGUAUCCGACCUGAGAGGGUGGUCGGACACACUGACACUGAAUAACGGGUCAGACUCCUACGGGAGGCAGCAGUCGGGAAUUUUGCCCAAUGAGCGAAAGCUUGAGGCAGCAACUCCGCGUGAGGGAUGAAGGCUCUAGGGUCGUAAACCUCUUUUCUCAGGGAAGAUACAAGACGGUACCUGAGGAAUAAGCGACGGCUAACUACGUGCCAGCAGCCGC